CAAUAGCGUAUAUUAAAGUUGUUGCAGUUAAAAAGCUCGUAGUUGAACUUCGGAACCGGUCGAUUGGUCCGUCCUCUGGAUUGUGUACUGAUCGAUCUGUUCUUCUUCGCGAAGACCGCGUGUGCCCUUAACUGGGUGUGCACGGGAUUCACGACGUUUACUUUGAAAAAUUAGAGUGUUCAAAGCAGGCAUUCGCUUGAAUAUCUCAGCAUGGAAUAAUGGAAUAGGACUACGGUCUCUUUGUUGGUUUGAGGGACUGCAGUAAUGAUUAAUAGGGAUAGUUGGGGGCAUUAGUAUUUAAUUGUCAGAGGUGGAAUUCUCGGAUUUGUUAAAGACUAACUUAUGCGAAAGCAUUUGCCAAGGAUGUUUUCAUUAAUCAAGAACGAAAGUUAGGGGAUCAAAGAUGAUUAGAUACCAU
rnacentral:rRNA from 1 species